rnacentral:rRNA from 1 species
GACGAACGCUGGCGGCGUGCUUAACACAUGCAAGUCGAACGGAAAGGCCCUGCUUUUGUGGGGUGCUCGAGUGGCGAACGGGUGAGUAACACGUGAGUAACCUGCCCUUGACUUUGGGAUAACUUCAGGAAACUGGGGCUAAUACCGGAUAGGAGCUCCUGCUGCAUGGUGGGGGUUGGAAAGUUUCGGCGGUUGGGGAUGGACUCGCGGCUUAUCAGCUUGUUGGUGGGGUAGUGGCUUACCAAGGCUUUGACGGGUAGCCGGCCUGAGAGGGUGACCGGCCACAUUGGGACUGAGAUACGGACCAGACUCCUACGGGAGGCAGCAGUGGGGAAUAUUGCACAAUGGGCGGAAGCCUGAUGCAGCAACGCCGCGUGCGGGAUGACGGCCUUCGGGUUGUAAACCGCUUUCGCCUGUGACGAAGCGUGAGUGACGGUAAUGGGUAAAGAAGCAUCGGCUAACUACGUG